rnacentral:rRNA from 1 species
UGAAGCAGAGCUUGCUCUGUGGAUCAGUGGCGAACGGGUGAGUAACACGUGAGCAACCUGCCCCUGACUCUGGGAUAAGCGCUGGAAACGGCGUCUAAUACUGGAUAUGAGCUGCGACCGCAUGGUCAGCAGUUGGAAAGAUUUUUCGGUCUGGGAUGGGCUCACGGCCUAUCAGCUUGUUGGUGAGGUAAUGGCUCACCAAGGCGUCGACGGGUAGCCGGCCUGAGAGGGUGACCGGCCACACUGGGACUGAGACACGGCCCAGACUCCUACGGGAGGCAGCAGUGGGGAAUAUUGCACAAUGGGCGAAAGCCUGAUGCAGCAACGCCGCGUGAGGGAUGACGGCCUUCGGGUUGUAAACCUCUUUUAGCAGGGAAGAAGCGAAAGUGACGGUACCUGCAGAAAAAGCGCCGGCUAACUACGUGCCAGCAGCCGCGGUAAUACGUAGGGCGCAAGCGUUAUCCGGAAUUAUUGGGCGUAAAGAGCUCGUAGGCGGUUUGUCGCGUCUGCUGUGAAAUCCCGAGGCUCAACCUCGGGUCUGCAGUGGGUACGGGCAGACUAGAGUGCGGUAGGGGAGAUUGGAAUUCCUGGUGUAGCGGUGGGAAUGCGCAGAUAUCAGGAGGAACACCGAUGGCGAAGGCAGAUCUCUGGGCCGUUACUGACGCUGAGGAGCGAAAGGGUGGGGAGCAAACAGGCUUAGAUACCCUGGUAGUCCACCCCGUAAACGUUGGGAACUAGUUGUGGGGUCCAUUCCACGGAUUCCGUGACGCAGCUAACGCAUUAAGUUCCCCGCCUGGGGAGUACGGCCGCAAGGCUAAAACUCAAAGGAAUUGACGGGGACCCGCACAAGCGGCGGAGCAUGCGGAUUAAUUCGAUGCAACGCGAAGAACCUUACCAAGGCUUGACAUAUACGAGAACGGGCCAGAAAUGGUCAACUCUUUGGACACUCGUAAACAGGUGGUGCAUGGUUGUCGUCAGCUCGUGUCGUGAGAUGUUGGGUUAAGUCCCGCAACGAGCGCAACCCUCGUUCUAUGUUGCCAGCACGUAAUGGUGGGAACUCAUGGGAUACUGCCGGGGUCAACUCGGAGGAAGGUGGGGAUGACGUCAAAUCAUCAUGCCCCUUAUGUCUUGGGCUUCACGCAUGCUACAAUGGCCGGUACAAAGGGCUGCAAUACCGUGAGGUGGAGCGAAUCCCAAAAAGCCGGUCCCAGUUCGGAUUGAGGUCUGCAACUCGACCUCAUGAAGUCGGAGUCGCUAGUAAUCGCAGAUCAGCAACGCUGCGGUGAAUACGUUCCCGGGUCUUGUACACACCGCCCGUCAAGUCAUGAAAGUCGGUAACACCUGAAGCCGGUGGCCCA